GAUUGAACGCUGGCGCGGCAGGCCUAACACAUGCAAGUCGAGCGGCAGCGGAAGGAAGCUUGCUUCCUUGCCGGCGAGCGGCGGACGGGUGAGUAAUGUCUGGGGAUCUGCCCGAUGGAGGGGGAUAACUACUGGAAACGGUAGCUAAUACCGCAUAACGUCGCAAGACCAAAGUGGGGGACCUUCGGGCCUCACACCAUCGGAUGAACCCAGAUGGGAUUAGCUAGUAGGCGGGGUAAAGGCCCACCUAGGCGACGAUCUCUAGCUGGUCUGAGAGGAUGACCAGCCACACUGGAACUGAGACACGGUCCAGACUCCUACGGGAGGCAGCAGUGGGGAAUAUUGCACAAUGGGGGAAACCCUGAUGCAGCCAUGCCGCGUGUAUGAAGAAGGCCUUCGGGUUGUAAAGUACUUUCAGCGGGGAGGAAGGCAGUGAACUUAAUACGUUCGCUGAUUGACGUUACCCGCAGAAGAAGCACCGGCUAACUCCGUGCCAGCAGCCGCGGUAAUACGGAGGGUGCAAGCGUUAAUCGGAAUGACUGGGCGUAAAGCGCACGCAGGCGGUUUGUUAAGUCAGAUGUGAAAUCCCCGAGCUUAACUUGGGAACUGCAUUUGAAACUGGCAAGCUAGAGUCUCUUGU
rnacentral:rRNA from 1 species